UGAGUUCGAGGCCAGCCCGCCCAUAUAGCCCCUGCUCGUUGCUGACCUAGCAACCCGAAAGGUAGUUGCAUCUAUCAAGUAGGAAAUAAGGUGCCACUUAUAAAAA
rnacentral:miRNA from 11 species